rnacentral:lncRNA from 1 species
CGAGCGGCGGGCCGAGGGAGGGCGCAGCAGCUGCUCCCUGAACACUUUCUGACCCAACAGUCCCCCAGCGCCGGACGCGCCGCGCCCUGGCGGCUCUAGGGACCCCCCCCGCGCCUGCACUUAGCCCCGCGCCCGAGUCCACAGACAAACGAAUUUAAAGGAGCAACCGAGGAGGCACCUGCGAAAGAAAGCCCACACACAGGUGAAUUUAAAGGAGCAGCCCUGGUGUCACCUAUCAGUAAAAGACUAUUUGGAGUUUUCCUCGUCUUACUGGAUGUCACUCUCGUCCUUGCCGACCUAAUUUUCACUGACAGCAAACUUUAUAUUCCUUUGGAGUAUCGUUCUAUUUCUCUAGCUAUUGCCUUAUUUUUUCUCAUGGAUGUUCUUCUUCGAGUAUUUGUAGAAGGGUCAACGCCACCGCCUCUGCACUGCCUUCCUGGCCAUCAUCCCAGGUAGAGCUGCCCUCUUCCUUCUCCGCAGCUUUUCUCAUCCUGCAAAGCAAGGGUGUUGGAGCGGGCCGGAGAGAAGUAGAGUGGGCUGCGAGGAGAAGGAAACAGGCCUUUCGGAGGCUCCUCAUCCCUCGGAGGUCAUCCCUUACUCCAGGCACAGGUGUGCGCACUUCGCAUCUCGAAGGCCGGCCAGCAAGCUUCAGACGGAGGCUCACUCUGUUGCUGGCACGAUCUCGGCUCACUGCAACCUC